rnacentral:lncRNA from 1 species
AAAGGAUGAAGGUGAGAUAUAUCCAUGAAAAUUGGAGAAGAGAAAAUAAUAUGUAUAUAAGAGAAUAGCAUGUUUGUGACGACAACGGAAAAUAGGUCACAGGUCACAGUUUGCAUUUCUAAAUUUUUUUUGUCUGUUUUUUCAUUCUGUGUACAUCUAUUUUAUCAUAUUAUGGUCACAUACUCAAUCUUUUGGAUACAUUUAAUAUAGUAUUAUUAUCUUAUUUAUUUAUAUGUUUAUUCAAGGCAUUGUAAUUUCUAGCAACCUAAUGAUAAUCUCAUU